UAAGAACAAUGGGCUGAAGUUGCCAAUUUAGUUUUGAUGUCAGAAAAAUCCUCUUAACAACUGAAGUGGUCCAAAAGUAGAAUAAGCUGUCUCAAAGGUUGAGUACCCUCUUCAUGAAGUCUUCAAGCAAAGUCUAAAUAUAACAAGGAAUUGACUAAGAACAACUAGUCCUAGAAUAUGCACAGGGGAUCCAUCCCUGGAGAUAUCUGGCGGGCCUGCUUCUGGAAGUGCUGAUGCUAUGGAAUGGAGGGCCUGGCUCUCUGCGUCAGAAGUGUUAAGAUAUCAUAAUUCUAAUCAGGGAGAAUAAACUACCUAUCUAUUGCGGUGAGAAGAGUUUGCAAUGGAUAAAAGGAAAUAAACAAUAUUUUUGAAGCCAAGUUAACUUCAAGUCCUAUACUUAAAUUCUGGAGCUAUGCCACAGUACCUGGGAA
rnacentral:lncRNA from 1 species